CUCUUCGCUACUCCGUAGUGACGGAGAUUGUUGUGUUGCAAAAAUCCGGCCGUCGACCUGAGGACUUGCGUGCAGCUCAGCUCCCGGGACGUUUGGAGAUCUUUCCAGCAUCUCAGGAUCAGAAGACUCAGACUCAGCCAGUGAGGAGGACUUGCAGACACUGGAUCGGGAGAGGGCUACAUUUGAGAAGUUUAGCCGACCCCAAGGCUUUUACCCUCAUCGAGUUCUUUUCCAGAAUGCCCAGGGCCAGUUUCUUUAUGCCUACCGCUGUGUCCUAGGCCCUCAUCAGGAUCCCCCAGAAGAGGCAAAACUGCUGCUACAGAAUCUGCAAAGCAGAGGUCCCAGAGACUGCGUGGUGCUCAUGGCUGCAGCUGGGCACUUUGCUGGUGCUAUAUUUCAAGGGUGAGAGGGUGCUGCAUGGGGGUAAGGAUGGAGUGGAUCCUGUUAGCCAGGGAGCACCAGCUGGUCUCCAGUACUGAGUCUGUGCUGUCUACAGAAGAGAAGUGGUGACACACAAAACUUUUCACCGCUAUACGGUGCGAGCCAAGCGGGGCACAGCCCAGGGGCUUCGGGAUGCCCGAGGUGGGCCAUCACGCUCUGCUGGAGCCAACCUGAGGCGCUACAAUGAAGCCACACUAUAUAAGGAUGUUCGUGACCUGCUGGCAGGGCCAAGCUGGGCUAAGGCGCUGGAGGAGGCUGGUACAAUACUGUUGCGUGCUCCCCGCUCUGGCCGGUCGUUGUUCUUUGGAGGCAAGGGGGCACCCCUGCAAAGGGGGGAUCCCCGACUUUGGGAUAUCCCCCUCGCCACCCGCAGACCCACCUUCCAAGAGCUACAGCGUGUGCUCCAUAAGCUGACCACUUUGCAUGUCUAUGAAGAAGACCCUCGGGAAGCAGUCAGACUGCACUCACCUCAGACACACUGGAAAACAAUAAGAGAGGAGAGAAAGAAGCCUACUGAGGAAGAAAUAAGAAAGAUCUGCAGUGAUGAAAAGGAAGCACUUGGGCAGAAUGAGGAAUCUCCCAAACAGGGUUUGAUUACUAUCUGGCAACUGUCAGAUCUGAGUUUCUGUCCUAAAAAUGCACUGGCAAA
rnacentral:sRNA from 1 species